rnacentral:rRNA from 1 species
CCUACGGGAGGCAGCAGUGAGGAAUAUUGGUCAAUGGACGCGAGUCUGAACCAGCCAAGUAGCGUGCAGGAUGACUGCCCUAUGGGUUGUAAACUUCUUUUAUAAAGGAAUAAAACGAGUCACGUGUGCCUUUUUGCAUGUACCUUAUGAAUAAGGACCGGCUAACUCCGUGCCAGCAGCCGCGGUAAUACGGAGGGUCCGAGCGUUAUCCGGAUUUAUUGGGUUUAAAGGGAGCGUAGGUGGGUUGUUAAGUCAGUGGUGAAAUUGUGCGGCUCAACCGUAAAAUUGCAAUUGAUACUGGGAGUCUUGAGUACAGUGGAGGUAGGCGGAAUUCGUGGUGGAGCGGUGAAAUGCUUAGAUAUCACGAAGAACUCCGAUUGCGAAGGCAGCUUACCAAACUGUGACUGACACUGAUGCUCGAAAGUGUGGGUAUCAAACAGGAUUAGAUACCCUUGUAGUC